GGUCUUAUAGUGUAGUGGUUAUCACUUUCGGUUCUGAUCCGGAACAACCCCGGUUCGAAUCCGGGUACGGACCU
rnacentral:tRNA from 1 species